rnacentral:rRNA from 1 species
AGAGUUUGAUCAUGGCUCAGGACGAACGCUGGCGGCGUGCGUAAUACAUGCAAGUCGAGCGGACCGAAAGGAGAGCUCGCUCUCCUUUCAGUCAGCGGCGGACGGGUGAGUAACACGUGGGUAACCUGCCUGUAAGACCGGGAUAACUCGCGGAAACGCGAGCUAAUACCGGAUAGGUCCCGUGGCCGCAUGGCGACGGGAGGAAAGAUGGCGCGAGCUAUCGCUUACAGAUGGGCCCGCGGCGCAUUAGCUAGUUGGUGGGGUAACGGCCCACCAAGGCGACGAUGCGUAGCCGACCUGAGAGGGUGAUCGGCCACAUUGGGACUGAGACACGGCCCAAACUCCUACGGGAGGCAGCAGUAGGGAAUCUUCCGCAAUGGGCGAAAGCCUGACGGAGCAACGCCGCGUGAGCGAAGAAGGCCUUCGGGUCGUAAAGCUCUGUUGUCAGGGAAGAACAAGUACCGGAGUAACUGCCGGUACCUUGACGGUACCUGACCAGAAAGCCCCGGCUAACUACGUGCCAGCAGCCGCGGUAAUACGUAGGGGGCGAGCGUUGUCCGGAAUCAUUGGGCGUAAAGCGCGCGCAGGCGGUCCCUUAAGUCUGAUGUGAAAUCUUGCGGCUCAACCGCAAGAGGUCAUUGGAAACUGGGGGACUUGAGUGCAGGAGAGGGAAGCGGAAUUCCAUGUGUAGCGGUGAAAUGCGUAGAGAUAUGGAGGAACACCAGUGGCGAAGGCGGCUUCCUGGCCUGUAACUGACGCUCAGGCGCGAAAGCGUGGGGAGCAAACAGGAUUAGAUACCCUGGUAGUCCACGCCGUAAACGAUGAGUGCUAGGUGUUGGAGGGGUUUACCCUUCAGUGCUGGAGCUAACGCAUUAAGCACUCCGCCUGGGGAGUACGGCCGCAAGGCUGAAACUCAAAGGAAUUGACGG